rnacentral:rRNA from 1 species
AUGAGUGUUUGUGUGUUGUUCUUGGAUUCCUACCUGUAUCGGUUCAUUCACACUCAUCGGGUGUUUUUAUGUCUCCUUCAUAUGAUGACCUGUAUUUUCGUUUCUUUUCUCAGAAAUUGCUCCGGUCAGUUUGGUUCGCUGUUUCAUCUGCUCAGUGUGUUGUCUCUCAAGUCCAAUGAGGAAGUGAGUGUUGUCUUCAUGACUAAUGGUGAAGCAGUGACAUUCAAAGUUUCACAGCCAUCUAUGAAAGCAUCAAUGGCAACCAAUGAGUGUUCAACUAAAUCUGCAAGUUUCUACAGGCUUUACAGGGCAUGA